rnacentral:lncRNA from 1 species
AGCCAUGUGGGUUACCAAGUUCAAAGGAAAGGAGAAGGAACUGAUGAAAAUAGUGGCUCAUCCAGGACAGUUUUCCUUCUUUGGCUUGUCCCUUGGCUUCUUUGGAGCUCAGGCUCAAAGCCAUGAGCUCUGCAUCAUUCCCUGCCAGUCCCCUGGGCCGAGAGAGGCUCGCUAGGUGUGUGUCUCUGGAGGCCGUGAGGGAACCCCCUCCUCUGUUUCCCUGCUUUGCAGCUCGCCAUUAAGGCCCGUGGGAUCUGACUGCCUUGACACCCGCAUUUGCAUCGUCUCAUCAGGUUUUGACUCGGACUGUAUCUCAGGCCGUGUCUCGGACCGUGCUUCCUCCUGGAGCUCCAGCUUGGUGGCUGGGGUAUCAGGAGUAUCAGGGGUCCACGAGGGCUCAGCACCCCGGGAGCUCUCCCCCUCCUCGUUGAUGACUCCAGAGGACAGGCCCUGUGCCUUGGGCUGCACCCAGCAGUGGCUGAGGAUCUCCUCGAUGUGCAGCCGCCGGUUGAUGUCUGGCUGUAGCAGGUGGUAGAUGAGGUCUUUGCACUCGCCCGUCAGGUUCUUGGAGCGGGGGAAGUUGAUGCGGUGCUCCUUCUGGAUGCGCAGCAUCUUCUUGAUGUUGGAGUCAUCGUAGGGCAUGGAGCCACAGACCAUGAUGUAGAGGAUCACACCCAGACUCCAGAUGUCACACACCUUGGGCUGGUAGGGGAUGCCCUGCAGCACCUCGGGUGCUGCAUAAGCUGCUGACCCGCAGAAAGUCUUGCUUAGCAUCAGUCGGCCACUGUCAUCCCUCGGGCAGCGCUUGGAGAAGCCAAAGUCAGAGAGCUUGAUGUUGAAGUCCUUGUCGAGGAGGAUGUUCUCACACUUGAGAUCUCGGUGGACAAUGUCCAAGUCAUGGCAGUACUUGAUGGCUGAGGAGAGCUGGUGGAACUUCUUGCGAGCAUCAUCCUCGUGCAGGGCUCCCCGGGUUCUGAUGAACCCGAGGAGGUCGCCCUGGACCCCGAGCUCCAUGAUGAUGUAGAUGCGGCCAUCAGAGGUCUCAAAGAUCUCGUAGGUCCUGAUAAUGGAGCGGUGGUUUAGCGUGGCCUGAAUCUCAAUUUCCCGGGGAAGGAAUUUCUCCAAGAAGUCCGUGGGGACUUUCUUGCGGUCGAUGAUCUUGACCGCCACGUUGAACUUCAGGCGCUCAGAGUAAGCAGACUUGACUUUUGCGUAUGAGCCCUCUCCCAAAUUUAUCCCCAGGAUGUAGCCUCGUCGCUUGAGGAUGGCAGCGUCAUCCAUGGUGCCGGGAGCGCCCAGUGCCUCUGAGGCUGCCCUCUACAUCCCUGCGGGACAUGGGCCAGUGGCGUCCUUAUUUACACUGUGGACAGA